rnacentral:rRNA from 1 species
GGCCGCGGGAAUUCGAUUCAGGCCUAACACAUGCAAGUCGAGCGGAUGAAAGUAGCUUGCUACUGAAUUCAGCGGCGGACGGGUGAGUAAUGCUUAGGAAUCUGCCCAUUAAUGGGGGACAACAGUUGGAAACGACUGCUAAUACCGCAUACGCCCUACGGGGGAAAGCAGGGGAUCUUCGGACCUUGCGUUAAUGGAUGAGCCUAAGUCGGAUUAGCUAGUUGGUGGGGUAAAGGCCUACCAAGGCGACGAUCUGUAGCGGGUCUGAGAGGAUGAUCCGCCACACUGGGACUGAGACACGGCCCAGACUCCUACGGGAGGCAGCAGUGGGGAAUAUUGGACAAUGGGCGAAAGCCUGAUCCAGCCAGGCCGCGUGUGUGAAGAAGGCCUUUUGGUUUAAAGUAAAGAAGCGAGGAGGAGGCUCCCUAGAUUAAUACUCUAGGUGAGGGACGUA